rnacentral:rRNA from 1 species
ACUAAGCGUACACGGUGGAUGCCCUGGCAGUCAGAGGCGAUGAAGGACGUGCUAAUCUGCGAUAAGCGUCGGUAAGGUGAUAUGAACCGUUAUAACCGGCGAUUUCCGAAUGGGGAAACCCAGUGUGAUUCGUCACACUAUCAUUAACUGAAUCCAUAGGUUAAUGAGGCGAACCGGGGGAACUGAAACAUCUAAGUACCCCGAGGAAAAGAAAUCAACCGAGAUUCCCCCAGUAGCGGCGAGCGAACGGGGAGGAGCCCAGAGCCUGAAUCAGUGUGUGUGUUAGUGGAAGCGUCUGGAAAGGCGCGCGAUACAGGGUGACAGCCCCGUACACAAAAAUGCACAUGCUGUGAGCUCGAUGAGUAGGGCGGGACACGUGGUAUCCUGUCUGAAUAUGGGGGGACCAUCCUCCAAGGCUAAAUACUCCUGACUGACCGAUAGUGAACCAGUACCGUGAGGGAAAGGCGAAAAGAACCCCGGCGAGGGGAGUGAAAAAGAACCUGAAACCGUGUACGUACAAGCAGUGGGAGCCUCUUUAUGGGGUGACUGCGUACCUUUUGUAUAAUGGGUCAGCGACUUAUAUUCUGUAGCAAGGUUAACCGAAUAGGGGAGCCGAAGGGAAACCGAGUCUUAACUGGGCGUUAAGUUGCAGGGUAUAGACCCGAAACCCGGUGAUCUAGCCAUGGGCAGGUUGAAGGUUGGGUAACACUAACUGGAGGACCGAACCGACUAAUGUUGAAAAAUUAGCGGAUGACUUGUGGCUGGGGGUGAAAGGCCAAUCAAACCGGGAGAUAGCUGGUUCUCCCCGAAAGCUAUUUAGGUAGCGCCUCGUGAAUUCAUCUCCGGGGGUAGAGCACUGUUUCGGCAAGGGGGUCAUCCCGACUUACCAACCCGAUGCAAACUGCGAAUACCGGAGAAUGUUAUCACGGGAGACACACGGCGGGUGCUAACGUCCGUCGUGAAGAGGGAAACAACCCAGACCGCCAGCUAAGGUCCCAAAGUCAUGGUUAAGUGGGAAACGAUGUGGGAAGGCCCAGACAGCCAGGAUGUUGGCUUAGAAGCAGCCAUCAUUUAAAGAAAGCGUAAUAGCUCACUGGUCGAGUCGGCCUGCGCGGAAGAUGUAACGGGGCUAAACCAUGCACCGAAGCUGCGGCAGCGACACUAUGUGUUGUUGGGUAGGGGAGCGUUCUGUAAGCCUGCGAAGGUGGCCUGUGAGGGUUGCUGGAGGUAUCAGAAGUGCGAAUGCUGACAUAAGUAACGAUAAAGCGGGUGAAAAGCCCGCUCGCCGGAAGACCAAGGGUUCCUGUCCAACGUUAAUCGGGGCAGGGUGAGUCGACCCCUAAGGCGAGGCCGAAAGGCGUAGUCGAUGGGAAACAGGUUAAUAUUCCUGUACUUGGUGUUACUGCGAAGGGGGGACGGAGAAGGCUAUGUUGGCCGGGCGACGGUUGUCCCGGUUUAAGCGUGUAGGCUGGUUUUCCAGGCAAAUCCGGAAAAUCAAGGCUGAGGCGUGAUGACGAGGCACUACGGUGCUGAAGCAACAAAUGCCCUGCUUCCAGGAAAAGCCUCUAAGCAUCAGGUAACAUCAAAUCGUACCCCAAACCGACACAGGUGGUCAGGUAGAGAAUACCAAGGCGCUUGAGAGAACUCGGGUGAAGGAACUAGGCAAAAUGGUGCCGUAACUUCGGGAGAAGGCACGCUGAUAUGUAGGUGAAGUCCCUCGCGGAUGGAGCUGAAAUCAGUCGAAGAUACCAGCUGGCUGCAACUGUUUAUUAAAAACACAGCACUGUGCAAACACGAAAGUGGACGUAUACGGUGUGACGCCUGCCCGGUGCCGGAAGGUUAAUUGAUGGGGUUAGCGGUAACGCGAAGCUCUUGAUCGAAGCCCCGGUAAACGGCGGCCGUAACUAUAACGGUCCUAAGGUAGCGAAAUUCCUUGUCGGGUAAGUUCCGACCUGCACGAAUGGCGUAAUGAUGGCCAGGCUGUCUCCACCCGAGACUCAGUGAAAUUGAACUCGCUGUGAAGAUGCAGUGUACCCGCGGCAAGACGGAAAGACCCCGUGAACCUUUACUAUAGCUUGACACUGAACAUUGAGCCUUGAUGUGUAGGAUAGGUGGGAGGCUUUGAAGUGUGGACGCCAGUCUGCAUGGAGCCGACCUUGAAAUACCACCCUUUAAUGUUUGAUGUUCUAACGUUGGCCCCUGAUCGGGGUUGCGGACAGUGUCUGGUGGGUAGUUUGACUGGGGCGGUCUCCUCCUAAAGAGUAACGGAGGAGCACGAAGGUUGGCUAAUCCUGGUCGGACAUCAGGAGGUUAGUGCAAUGGCAUAAGCCAGCUUGACUGCGAGCGUGACGGCGCGAGCAGGUGCGAAAGCAGGUCAUAGUGAUCCGGUGGUUCUGAAUGGAAGGGCCAUCGCUCAACGGAUAAAAGGUACUCCGGGGAUAACAGGCUGAUACCGCCCAAGAGUUCAUAUCGACGGCGGUGUUUGGCACCUCGAUGUCGGCUCAUCACAUCCUGGGGCUGAAGUAGGUCCCAAGGGUAUGGCUGUUCGCCAUUUAAAGUGGUACGCGAGCUGGGUUUAGAACGUCGUGAGACAGUUCGGUCCCUAUCUGCCGUGGGCGCUGGAGAACUGAGGGGGGCUGCUCCUAGUACGAGAGGACCGGAGUGGACGCAUCACUGGUGUUCGGGUUGUCAUGCCAAUGGCACUGCCCGGUAGCUAAAUGCGGAAGAGAUAAGUGCUGAAAGCAUCUAAGCACGAAACUUGCCCCGAGAUGAGUUCUCCCUGACUCCCUGAGAGUCCUGAAGGAACGUUGAAGACGACGACGUUGAUAGGCCGGGUGUGUAAGCGCAGCGAUGCGUUGAGCUAACCGGUACUAAUGAACCGUGAGGCUUAACC